GAAAUGAUUCUCUUUGCUAACACAUGAAUAAUCCCUGAACCUGAAAAUAUAGUUCUUAUUUUUCACUCCUUUUUCCUUCUCUCGAAAACUCGCGGCCUUGAAGUCUUGUUGCCCUGGAAGGUUCUCGCUCUUACCGUGGAAGGCUCGUCACCCCGUCGAAGGCUCGUCGCGGUUGAAGACUCGCUGCUGUCAAAGGUUUUGCCGAAUUAUCGAAAAGGCUUUGCCACACUUUGCCGUCGUCGAACUGUCUCGAAGGUUCUAUUACCAUUGUCGAAGAUUCUGAGAACAGUUCUCCUGGAAAAGAGAAGCAACUAUGGAACCUAAGGUUUGAGGUUGUGCUGCAUUCCUUCUUCUUUUCUUCGUCUACUCUCACAAAUUUUGGAGAGGAUAAGAAGCGAACACUCGAUCAUCCUGAAUCCAAAGAAGAUUGCUAAAGCGACCCUAGUACUAGACACAAGUUAUAUUGCCAAGCCAGCUGCCUCAUGGCUUGAUGAUUUUCUAGUCUGGGUAUCUCUAGAAGUAUUUGGGUGUGCUAUUCUUGAGCUUGAACUUGAUGAAUUUCAGUCUUAGUUUAAGAAACUCACUUUAGUAGAAAAGUCUGUAAUUGCCUCUAAUUUGUCCAGACUACGAAAUUUGCACACAUUCUUGUUGUGUCUGAAGAUGGUUAUGUUAGCUUGUUUGAUACUCGUAGCAAAUGCUCCGAUACCUUAAACUUUGAAGAAAACACAAGUAUUUUUUUUUUUUUUCUUUAUUUGUUUUGAGUAAUAUGAUGAAAAGAAUAUAGAAGCGGCACAGGUUUUGUGGUCGAAUGAAAUUUUUUCCUUUUUAAUUCAGAAGAAGAGAAGAUCUGGGUUUUGUAUUAGAAUGUUGUUGUUGAUACUUGUUGGAUUAAGAUACAUGCAAUUCAUAUAUCUUUUAAUUCAUUUAAUACAUUAUUAUUUGAGCUAUUUAUUUUUGAUGUUUUGUGCAUGACUUGACAUAGAUUGUAAUUAUUUACAGGAGGACAGACAAAUUGGUCAUUGUUAAUGUUGAUCAAGCAGUAAGUCACUCUUACAUCCACAGUGUAAUAUGUUAUUCUGUGGAUGCAAGAGUGAUUUACUGUUUGAUUACCAUACACAGUGAGAAUUUGUCUGUUCUCUAUAAAUAAUUACAAACUGUGUCAAGUCAUGCACAAAAUACCAAAAAUAAAUAGCUCAAAUAAUAAUGUAUUAAAUGAAUUAAAAGAUAUAUAAAUUGCAUGUACCUUGAUCCAAUCAGUAUUAAAAACAAUUUUUUGAUGCGAAACCCAAUGGCAGAUCUUCUUUACCUCUGAGUUAAAAAAAAAAAUUUCACACAACCAACGACACAACUCUCUCGUUUCUAUAUUUCUUUCCUCAUAUAACUCAACAAAUAAAGAAGAACUAAGAAAAAAUACCUAUGUUUUCUUCAAAGUUUGAGGUAAUAUGUUGAAAUGACUCCAAAAACCCUAACACAACAGUCAGACCCAACAAACUGCAGAUGAACGCAUCAACACUGGCAAUCACGGGAUUGUGAGGGGCAUUGACACAGUAUAAGGUGUGCUCUAUGUCAUUACUCCUGUGCCACAUAGUUCCUUGGAAAAGGUCAACCUCUUGCCUACAGUAAAAGUUCAAUGGGUGGUGUCAAUGGAGCACAUGUUUCAUCUCAAGCAUGACGAACGAACUAUAAGGGAAAUGUUAGUUUCUGAAGGAUCUAGGUUUCUUUCUAUCUUGCAAACUAAACUUUUCUAAUAAUUCCUAAUUGUUAGGCUGCUUCCAUGAUAGUUAGUGUUUUUAUCUGAAUUGAUUGGUUUGACUAAUGAAUUGGUUUAUUUGAGCUUGUUGAAGUUUUGGAAUAUCUGAAAUUUAAAAAAUAUUGUUACUUAAAUGUGUCCAUGUCCUCAAUCAUCUAAAAAGGUUGGUUGGAAUUUUGUUCUAAAGAGAAAAUAUAUUUUUUUAUAUUUUCUCUAAGCUAUCAAUUAAUAAUGUUGGAUAAAUUGAAUCAUGAUUUUUAAGAUACAAAGAUUACCGUCUCAACAUAGAAUAAUUACUACAAAGUUGAGGCUUUAAUCUUUUACUACACUUAAAAAUCAUGAUCUAAUUUAUCUAACACCAUUAAUUGGUAACUCACAGAAAGAAUAAAAAAAAUAUAUUUUUCUUUUAGAAUAAAGUUCUAACUAAUCUUUUUAAUUGAUUGUGGACAUGGAUACUUCUGAUUAAUACUAUUUUUUAAUUUUUUGGUAUCCUAUAGUUUCAAUAGGCUGAAAUAAAUAAAUUUAUAAUCAAACCAGUCAAUUAAGAUAAAAACACUAGAAAAUCAAAUGUUCACGAAUUUUCCAACUAAGCUAUCCAAUUCGUUGAUACGAAAACCUGGUACUUGAAAUAUAUUUAUUGACUACUACUAAGCGGUAUGACUGAAUAUAUGUCAUAUUAUUAGAGCUAA